GACGUAGGGGGCGAGCGUUGUCCGGAAUGACUGGGCGUAAAGGGCGUGUAGGCGGCCGGGUACGUGGGGCCGGAAAGGCGGGGGCUCAGCCGCCGCAGGGGUCUCAAACGGCCGGGCUGGAGGGCAGGAGAGGUGCGUGGAAUUCCCGGUGGAGCGGUGAAAUGCGUAGAGAUCGGGAAGAACACCCGUGGCGAAGGCGGCGCACUGGCCUGGCCCUGACGCUGAGGCGCGACAGCGUGGGGAGCGAACGGG
rnacentral:rRNA from 1 species